ACUCCUACGGGAGGCAGCAGUGGGGAAUAUUGCACAAUGGGCGCAAGCCUGAUGCAGCCAUGCCGCGUGUAUGAAGAAGGCCUUCGGGUUGUAAAGUACUUUCAGCAGUGAGGAAGGUGGAUAUGUUAAUAGCAUAUUCAUUUGACGUUAGCUGCAGAAGAAGCACCGGCUAACUCCGUGCCAGCAGCCGCGGUAAUACGGAGGGUGCGAGCGUUAAUCGGAAUUACUGGGCGUAAAGCGCAUGCAGGUGGUUUGUUAAGUCAGAUGUGAAAGCCCGGGGCUCAACCUCGGAAUUGCAUUUGAAACUGGCAAACUAGAGUACUGUAGAGGGGGGUAGAAUUUCAGGUGUAGCGGUGAAAUGCGUAGAGAUCUGAAGGAAUACCGGUGGCGAAGGCGGCCCCCUGGACAGAUACUGACACUCAGAUGCGAAAGCGUGGGGAGCAAACAGGAUUAGAUACCCUGGUAGGC
rnacentral:rRNA from 1 species